rnacentral:rRNA from 1 species
GUAUUGGAAUGAUGGGAAUUUAAACCUCUUCCAGAGUAUCAAUUGGAGGGCAAGUCUGGUGCCAGCAGCCGCGGUAAUUCCAGCUCCAAUAGCGUAUAUUAAACUUGUUGCAGUUAAAAAGCUCGUAGUUGAAUUUCUGCUGUAUCGUUUUCCUCUGCUUGACAGUUGGAUUUCGUUAUGGCUUAGUUGGGUUACAGUUUCUGUUACCUGACGUUUACUUUGAGAAAAUUAUAGUGCUUCAAGCAGGCUUUUGCCUUGAAUACUUUAGCAUGGAAUAAUAGAGUAGGACUUUGGUUCUAUUUUGUUGGUUUUAGGAGCCAGAGUAAUGGUUAAUAGGAACAGUUGGGGGCAUUCGUAUUUGACUGUCAGAGGUGAAAUUCUUA